rnacentral:rRNA from 1 species
GAUGAACGCUGGCGGCGUGCCUAAUACAUGCAAGUCGAACGCAUAGCGAAAGGUGCUUGCACCUUUCAAGUGAGUGGCGAACGGGUGAGUAACACGUGGACAACCUGCCUCAAGGCUGGGGAUAACAUUUGGAAACAGAUGCUAAUACCGAAUAAAACUUAGUGUCGCAUGACACAAAGUUAAAAGGCGCUUCGGCGUCACCUAGAGAUGGAUCCGCGGUGCAUUAGUUAGUUGGUGGGGUAAAGGCCUACCAAGACAAUGAUGCAUAGCCGAGUUGAGAGACUGAUCGGCCACAUUGGGACUGAGACACGGCCCAAACUCCUACGGGAGGCUGCAGUAGGGAAUCUUCCACAAUGGGCGAAAGCCUGAUGGAGCAACGCCGCGUGUGUGAUGAAGGCUUUCGGGUCGUAAAGCACUGUUGUAUGGGAAGAACAGCUAGAAUAGGAAAUGAUUUUAGUUUGACGGUACCAUACCAGAAAGGGGCGGCUAAAUACGUG